GUACCGUGAGGGAAAGGUGAAAAGUACCCUGAGUAAGGGGGUGAAAUAGAACCUGAAACCGUACGCUUACAAGCGGUCGGAGCCCAUGAGUUGGGUGACGGCGUGCCUUUUGCAUAAUGAGCCUACGAGUUACCAUAUAUGGCGAGAUUAAGGUCUAGAGGACUGUAGUCGAAGCGAAAGCGAGUCUUAACAGGGCGAAUAGUCAUAUGUGGUAGACGCGAAACUUUGUGAUCUACCCAUGGCCAGGGUGAAGGUUGGGUAACACUAACUGGAGGCCCGAACCAGUACACGUUGAAAAGUGUUUGGAUGAGCUGUGGGUAGGGGUGAAAGGCCAAUCAAACUGAGAGAUAGCUCGUACUCCCCGAAAUGCUUUUAGGAGCAGCGUGUGGAGAUGUUUGUUAGAGGUAGAGCUACCGAUUGGACUAGGGGGAGUCACAUCCUACCAAAUCCAGACGAACUCCGAAUGCUAAUAAAUUAUCCAUGCAGUGAGGGUUAGGGUGCUAAGGUCCUAAUCCGAGAGGGAAAGAACCCAGACCUACGGCUAAGGUCCCUAAAUCCGCGCUAAGUUGAACUAAGGAGGUCCAAUUGCUUAGACAGCCAGGAUGUUGGCUUGGAAGCAGCCAUUCAUUUAAAGAGUGCGUAACAGCUCACUGGUCGAGCGAUAGGGCAUCGAUAAUAAUCGGGCAUCAAGUGCGGUACCGAAGCCUAGGAUAGUAAUAUGGUAGGGGAGCAUUCUCUGUGGGGCGAAGAUGUGCUGUGAGGCAUGUUGGACUGCAGAGAAGCGCAAAUGUAGGCAUAAGUAACGAUAAUGCGGGCGAGAAACCCGCACACCGAUAGACUAAGGUUUCCCCGGCAAUGCUAAUCAGCCGGGGGUUAGUCGGGACCUAAGGCGAACCCGAGAGGGGUAGUCGAUGGACAAUCGAUUAAUAUUUCGAUACUACCCAUAACUGCGAUGGGGUGACGGAGGAGUGAAAGUCUCGCGUACUGACGGAAUAGUACGUUGAAGCGUGUAGGUAUAUUGGAUGUAGGCAAAUCCGCAUUCGAUGCUGAACGUGAUAGUACCACAACGCUACGGCAGCGUGGAUAGUAGACCUAAUCAGACUUCCGAGAAAACCCUCUAAGCUACAGGUUAUGGGUACCCGUACCGUAAACCGACACAGGUAGUCAAGGAGAGAAUCCUGAGGUGCUCGAGUGAUUCAUGGCUAAGGAACUAGGCAAAAUGACCCUGUAACUUCGGGAGAAGGGGUCCCUACGUGAGUAGGGCGCAGCGAAACGAUCCAGGCGACUGUUUAUCAAAAACACAUGGCUUUGCGAACUUGAAAGAGGAAGUAUAAGGCCUGACACCUGCCCGGUGCUGGAAGGUUAAGGGGGGGAGUUAGCUUCGGCGAAGCUCUGAACUGAAGCCCCAGUAAACGGCGGCCGUAACUAUAACGGUCCUAAGGUAGCGAAAUUCCUUGUCGGGUAAGUUCCGACCUGCACGAAUGGUGCAACGAUCUGGAUACUGUCUCGGCCAUGAGCUCGGUGAAAUUGUAGUAACGGUGAAGAUGCCGUUUACCCGCAACGGGACGGAAAGACCCCGUGAACCUUUACUAUAGCUUCACAUUGGUAUUGGGUAAAUGAUGUGUAGGAUAGGAGGGAGACUUUGAUCAUGCGUCGCUAGGCGUAUGUUAGUCAUUGGUGAAAUACCUCCCUUUAUUUAUCUGAUGCCUAAUCUGGAAACAGAGACAGUGUGUGGUGGGUAGUUUGACUGGGGUGGUCGCCUCCAAAAGUGUAACGGAGGCUUUCAAAGGUACCCUCAGCAUGUUUGGUAAUCAUGCGAAGAGCGCAAUAGCAUAAGGGUGCUUGACUGUGAGGCCAACAAGCCGAUCAGGUAGGAAACUAGGAUAUAGUGAUCCGGCGGUUCUGUAUGGAAGGGCCGUCGCUCAAAGGAUAAAAGGUACUCCGGGGAUAACAGGCUGAUCUCCCCCAAGAGUUCAUAUCGACGGGGAGGUUUGGCACCUCGAUGUCGGCUCAUCGCAUCCUGGGGCGGUAGUACGUCCCAAGGGUUGGGCUGUUCGCCCAUGAAAGCGGUACGCGAGCUGGGUUCAGAACGUCGUGAGACAGUUCGGUCCCUAUCUGCCGUGGGUGUAGGAUACUUGAGAGGAGUUGCCCCUAGUACGAGAGGACCGGGGUGAACGAUCCACUGGUGGACCUGUUGUGGCGCCAGCCGCAGUGCAGGGUAGCUAUGAUCGGAAAGGAUAACCGCUGAAGGCAUCUAAGCGGGAAGCCCCCCUCAAAACAAGGUAUCCCUGAGGGCCGUGGUAGACCACCACGUCGAUAGGCCGGAGGUGUAAGCGCAGCAAUGCGUUCAGCUGACCGGUAC
rnacentral:rRNA from 1 species